AUGGAACCCUGGCAUACAAUCCGUAAGAGCAGUUACAUACGACAAGGGAUCGCCAUCAUUCAACUUGCCAUGCGCGAGCAUGUUCUUGUAUACCACUACUGCAGGUCCGAGCGCUCCCAGGCGUUAGUUGACUUCCUGCAACGGAAAGCGGUAACUUUCACUAGCGUCGACACCAGGAACGACAAGACCAUGCUUGCCCGUGCAUGGAUCAAAAUUCCAGACGAGUAUCACGUCGACAUUCAGAGGCUAUUCUGCAUCAAGGGUGGUGGAGAAAGGGACUCCAUGGGUGACCUUGCAGCGGCCAUCAUCGACCCCACAUACAAGAACAUGAAGAAAUCAUUCCCAAAGGAGAAGCACCAGUUCUGGGAGUGGAAGCCACAUUCCCCGAUACACCUUGAGUACGCGGCAAAGGACGGGUAUGUUAGCUACGAGUUGUACCGUAGAAUCCUAAUCAUCAAGAAUGUGCUACGUCACCUCCACCAACAACCAGUGAAAGAAAGACUCCGCCCACGUAAGAACAAAGACGAGGGAUCUUUCAGUGGUUGGAAGCGCUGGAAGGGAAACAAUGGUUGGUAA
rnacentral:rRNA from 1 species